rnacentral:rRNA from 1 species
GACUAAUCAAACACUGGAGCCAUAAAAAAUAUCUCCGCCACAAGAAAACCACUACAAAUUCAGCAAACUGACCAAACGGAUCAUUAGAUUAGAAAGCCAUCGCCGCCAUGGAUGAUGAUGAUCAUCAAGAGGAGGCGCCGGAGCAGGUGAAGCUUUUUGGCAUGUGGGCAAGCCCCUACGUCCUCAAGGUGAGAUGGGCGCUGAGCAUCAAGGGCGUGGAGUACGAGUACGUGGAGGAGGACCUGAGGAACAAGAGCCACGACCUCCUGGAGCACAACCACGUGCACAAGAAAGUCCCCGUGCUGCUCUACCGCGGCAUACCGGUGGCGGAAUCCGACGUCAUCGUCGAGUUCGUCGACGAGGCGUGGAGCCACCGCGGCGGCCGCAUCCUCCCCGACGACCCCCACGAGCGCGCCAUGGCCCGCUUCUGGGUGAGGUUCGUGCACGACAAGGUCAGCGCAGCGGUUCUCUUUCCUCCGUUCCAAGUUUGGUUUUGUGUAGCUCAAGCUACAUGAUACCCUUUAUCUUAGCCAUCCAUUUUUGCAUCAUGAUCCGUACAGGCACAUUUGUCAUUUUUGUUUCUCUCAAACGAGACAACGUAUAAACUUCAAACUUUACAGAACAACAAAACAUUCUAAUUACUAUGUGGGAAAAAACUUUCAGAUUUUUUCAUGCAUUUUAAAUGCUAAAAAUUAUUUUUUUAAUCAAAAAAAUCCUCAUUUUGUAUAUUUAUGUUGGUCCAAAAAAUCUGAAAGUUUUUUCACACAUUGAAGUUGUAAGUUUUGUUUGACCUGGAAAGUUUGAAGUCUACAUAUUCUUUCAUUCGAGAGAAACAAAAAAGAAAAAUCUUCUUGCUGUAAGUUAGUUGAAGAGUAUGAAUCUCAAAGCAACUUUGAAGGACUGAAGAUAAAAGGUUACAUGUAGCCUGAGCUACAAAGGAACUUUACCCAGAUGAUUCCUGGAGGAGUUGAUCGCCGUCGGCGGCAAGGAUUUCUUUGCCGGGGAGAGCGUCGAGCUCGUGGAUCUGUCGCUCGGUGCGUUGGCGUACGUGGUCCCGAUGUACGAGGAGAUCAUCGGCGUGAGGCUGGUCACCGAGGAGAGGUUCCCGUCUCUGUCAGCGUGGAUGGGGCGAUUCUUGGACUCGCCGCCGGUGAAGGAUCACCCGCCGCUAGUGGAGAGGCUGAAACCCAGGUACCGAGCCAUGCGUGAAGCCUUUCUGAACAUGGGCUAGAUCAAAGCCACUGUCUGCGUUUAAGUGAUUGCUUGUACUAUGUCAAAAAAAAAUUGCUUGUACUAGUACGAUAUAUACAGUCCUACCCACAAAAAAAAACGGUCCAGUGCAUCCUUGUAUUUACAUGGCUUGUACUAUGAUCUUUACGAUAUAAAUAAGACACAUAUUUACCAUAAAAAAUGACUCAUUUUCUAUGAAAUUUCAGAAAUUCCAGUCAUCACAGUAGCUAUCAAAUAUACGCAUUUCAAGCAAAAUAUUAUGGUGACAUAAAUUCAAGUCAGAUUUCAACAGAAACCAAAUUUUCUAACGCGGACACUCUGCAGCUACAUGUGUAUUGUCAUUGGAAAAAGAAAACCCAUGUAACAUUUUUUUCUCAGAAAUACUCGUGUAAGAACAUCUACAACCACAAUGUUCUAAUUUGAGCCCUAUAGCGUCUAGUCACCUCUCAUUUGGCCAGGCCAUCCUUCUUAUAUCAAAACCUCUAAAUCCAUGCAACCCCAGAUCAGGCAUAGCAAUGUUCAAUUUACAGCCGGACAUAGCAUAUGAAGUUCAUAAAAGAUCGGACAUAGCAUAGCAUAUUCACAAAAGUUUAGCCUACGAUACAUAAAUUAAAGGUAGGGCGUCACACUUUCCUCGCUGGUCCCUUCCCCUUGCAGUGUUCGGAGCAGCGGUAUUAGUCUUCGUCAGCGGACAGAGAGGAAUCGUCAUCGCCGUCGGUGGUUGUUCUUGUUAAGAUGUAGAUACAUAUGUGUAUUUCUUGUACAACAAGCCUUCCUCCUUCCUUGUAUAGUUGAGGACGUGGCUAUCCUUUGUACUUAUAUAUACGUGUAUAUUGCACCCGAUCAAUGUAUCGUGAGUUGCAUAAUCUUCUAUAUGGUAUCAGCCUUCCUACGAUCCUCUACCCUAGCCGCGUCGCCGCUGCUCCCUAGCCGCCGCCGCUAGUCUCCUUGCACGCCCGCGCCGCCGACUACUCGCCGCCGCCGCCGUGCCACCCUCCAACCAGGCC